rnacentral:rRNA from 1 species
CCUACGGGAGGCAGCAGUGGGGAAUAUUGGGCAAUGGGCGCAAGCCUGACCCAGCAACGCCGCGUGAAGGAAGACGGCUUUCGGGUUGUAAACUUCUUUUGUUAGGGAAGAGUAGAAGACGGUACCUGACGAAUAAGCCACGGCUAACUAAGUGCCAGCAGCCGCGGUAAUACGUAGGUGGCAAGCGUUGUCCGGAUUUACUGGGUGUAAAGGGCGUGUAGCCGGGCUGACAAGUCAGAUGUGAAAGCUUGCGGCUUAACCGAAGAACUGCAGUUGACACUGUUGUUCUUGAGUACUGGAGAGGCAGGCGGAAUUCGUGGUGUAGCGGUGAAAUGCGUAGAUAUUAGGAGGAACACCAGUGGCGAAGGCGGUCUGCUGGACAGCAACUGACGGUGAGGCGCGAAAGCGUGGGGAGCAAACAGGAUUAGAUACCCUAGUAGUC